CACACUGGGAUUCCGUCAUUAGGUAUAGUCACACUGGGAUUCCGUCAUUAGGUGUAGUCACAUUGGGAUUCCGUCAUUAGGUGUGGUCACAUUGGGAUUCCGUCAUUAGGUGUAGUCACAUUGGGAUUCCGUCAUUAGGUAUAGUCACAUUGGGAUUCCGUCAUUAGGUGUAGUCACAUUGGGAUUCCGUCAUUAGGUAUAGUCACACUGGGAUUCCGUCAUUAGGUGUAGUCACAUUGGGAUUCCGUCAUUAGGUAUAGUCACAUUGGGAUUCCGUCAUUAGGUGUAGUCACAUUGGGAUUCCGUCAUUAGGUAUAGUCACACUGGGAUUCCGUCAUUAGGUGUAGUCACAUUGGGAUUCCGUCAUUAGGUAUAGUCACAUUGGGAUUCCGUCAUUAGGUGUAGUCACAUUGGGAUUCCGUCAUUAGGUAUAGUCACAUUGGGAUUCCGUCAUUAGGUAUAGUCACAUUGGGAUUCUGUCAUUAGUUAUAGUCACAUUGGGAUUCCGUCAUUAGGUAUAGUCACAUUGGGAUUCCGUCAUUAGGUGUAGUCACAUUGGGAUUCCGUCAUUAGGUAUAGUCACAUUGGGAUUCUGUCAUUAGUUAUAGUCACAUUGGGAUUACGUCAUUAGGUAUAUUCACAUUGAGAUUCUGUCAUUAGUUAUAGUCACUAAUGUUGCAAAAUUCAGGGAACUUUCAAUAUAUUCCCUUGUUUUCCCGAAAUCCCGGUUGGAGGUUUUAGAAUCAGGAGAGAAUAAGCAGAGAAUCC